GCCCCUGUGGCGCAGUGGUCAGCGCGCUCCUGCAUUCUCCGUGAUGUACUCGCACUGAAGAUAGGACCGGGUGUCCGCGGUAAGCUCCCCCUCCCCCAGGUAGAACAAUAGAGCGAGUACAUCAUGGAGGAGAAGUGAGAGGUCCUCGGUUCGAAUCCGAGCAGAAGCA
rnacentral:tRNA from 1 species